UCUGCGGAAGCAACGACGUCGGUACAAAUUCGAAAGCCCCCGCUCAGCAUCAACUGCAUUACAGUUGCAUGGUUUCUUUGAGUCUCAACGUAUCGGCUGAUUCCUCAGAUGAGUUCAAAAUUCAAAAACGGCGCCACUUCAGUUUUUAACAACUAUGAUGGAGAGCUUUGUUUCCAGGGUCUUUAUUUCUUUUCGUAUCGGCUCUUUUCUUGAAAGGGUCUACACCCAAUCUUCACCCGCGAGUCAUUCACAGGGAUCCGGGCAUUGUCUACCUUGACAAACUAUGUCAUUGCAUCUUACUUCCGACCCAUUACAAGUUGGAAUAUGUUCAGGUCUCCAGUUAAAUCUGAACGAUGAGUGGUGUUGAACGACUUUUACUUUUCCUUUCCAAAAUUUGCAGUUGGUCAUUUUGUUAAAUAUUGUUGGCAACUGAUCUUGAGUGUCGGAUUGUUUGUUUGGACGAAUGAUCCUGGUGCAGGUAGAGAUGGCCUAGAAAAUCACCUCUCAUACAGUACUCAACUUCUUGUGCACAUGACCAAUUGCUGAACUGGAUUCUCCUCCAUUAGAAGUACUUUACGAUUGAAAAGGUAGAGCCCAGUCUUGUAGAGUUUUCAAUUUCGAACUCCAGUAAUUCAAAUAUGGACAGACAAUGUACAAACCCACCACAAUGGAGCUCGGAAACGAGCGGGUGAGGGAUUGAGGGAACAUACUUCUUGCGUAUACUGAUCCAGACCUGUAGAGUAUCAUGGAGAAAGAGGAGACUCGUGGAUGGAGAGAUGUUUGGCUCAUUGCUUUAAAAACGUUUGCUUCACUUGCUGCUUCUGUAGCUCUGGGAACCCACCUCACAAAUAAGUACUUGGAGGGACUCCUUUGUACCAGGCGCCACAAAUGUUAUUUUAUUUAUUUAUUUAAUUAUUUUCAUCUUUCCCUUGUAUAGAUCUCAUAAUUUAUCAUAGUUGGUAGUUUAGGAUCAAAGUAGUUUUGUAGUUUUUGGCAAUGUGUUUCCAAUUUUUAUAAAUUAUUAUAUAAACUUUAGAUCUUGUUGCAAUUUUGUUGUAUACUUAUAUUUU